rnacentral:ncRNA from 2 species
UACAUAUUGAUGCGGUAAGGUGUUUACCAGCCAGAUUUGGUAGACUUAAUAGGGAAGUCGGUGAGAAUCCGACGCGGUCCCGCCACUGUAAUGAGAGAGUUCCAUUUGCGAAAGAAGGCCACUGAUCAUGAGGAUCGGGAAGGUGAAAAUGGAGCGAUGAUCCAAAAGCCAGGAGACCUGCCUAACCGCUUGCACUGUU